UACGUAGGUGGCAAGCGUUGUCCGGAUUUACUGGGCGUAAAGGGUGCGUAGGCGGACAUUUAAGUCAGAUGUGAAAUCCCCGAGCUUAACUUGGGUGCUGCAUUUGAAACUGGGUGUCUAGAGUGCAGGAGAGGUAAGUGGAAUUCCUAGUGUAGCGGUGAAAUGCGUAGAGAUUAGGAAGAACACCAGUGGCGAAGGCGACUCACUGGACUGUAACUGACGCUGAGGCAUGAAAGCGUGGGGAGCAAACAGG
rnacentral:rRNA from 1 species